UGGGGGAUAUUGACACAAUGGGGGGGAAACCCUGAUGCAGCGACGCCGCGUGGGUGAAGAAGCGCCUCGGCGCGUAAAGCCCUGUCAGCAGGGAAGAAAAUGACGGUACCUGAAGAAGAAGCCCGGCUAACUACGUGCC
rnacentral:rRNA from 1 species